UACGGAGGGUGCGAGCGUUGUCCGGAAUCACUGGGCGUAAAGGGCGCGUAGGCGGCCAGGUAGGUCUGCUGUGAAAACUCGAGGCUCAACCUCGAGACGUCGGCGGAAACCAUCUGGCUAGAGUCCGGAAGAGGAGAGUGGAAUUCCUGGUGUAGCGGUGAAAUGCGCAGAUAUCAGGAAGAACACCCGUGGCGAAGGCGGCUCUCUGGGACGGUACUGACGCUGAGACGCGAAAGCGUGGGGAGCGAACAGG
rnacentral:rRNA from 1 species